UGAGGAAUAUUGGACAAUGGGUGAGAGCCUGAUCCAGCCAUCCCGCGUGAAGGAUGACGGUCCUAUGGAUUGUAAACUUCUUUUGUACAGGGAUAAACCUACUCUCGUGAGGGUAGCUGAAGGUACUGUACGAAUAAGCACCGGCUAACUCCGUGCCAGCAGCCGCGGUAAUACGGAGGGUGCAAGCGUUAUCCGGAUUUAUUGGGUUUAAAGGGUCCGUAGGCGGACUUGUAAGUCAGUGGUGAAAUCUCAUAGCUUAACUAUGAAACUGCCAUUGAUACUGCAGGUCUUGAGUAAAUUUGAAGUGGCUGGAAUAAGUAGUGUAGCGGUGAAAUGCAUUGAUAUUACUUAGAACACCAAUUGCGAAGGCAGGUCACUAAGAUUUAACUGACGCUGAUGGACGAAAGCGUGGGGAGCGAACA
rnacentral:rRNA from 1 species